rnacentral:rRNA from 1 species
UAGGGAAUCUUCGGCAAUGGACGAAAGUCUGACCGAGCAACGCCGCGUGAGUGAAGAAGGUUUUCGGAUCGUAAAACUCUGUUGUUAGAGAAGAACAAGGACGUUAGUAACUGAACGUCCCCUGACGGUAUCUAACCAGAAAGCCACGGCUAACUACGUGCCAGCCGCCGCGGUAAUACGUAGGUGGCAAGCGUUGUCCGGAUUUAUUGGGCGUAAAGCGAGCGCAGGCGGUUUCUUAAGUCUGAUGUGAAAGCCCCCGGCUCAACCGGGGAGGGUCAUUGGAAACUGGGAGACUUGAGUGCAGAAGAGGAGAGUGGAAUUCCAUGUGUAGCGGUGAAAUGCGUAGAUAUAUGGAGGAACACCAGUGGCGAAGGCGGCUCGCUGGUCUGUAACUGACGCUGAGGCUCGAAAGCGUGGGGAGCAAACAGG